ensembl:misc_RNA 7SK 7SK RNA
GGAUGUAAGGCUGAACUGGCUGCGGCAUCUGUCACCCUGUUGAUUGCCAGGGUUCAUUCAGCUGACCUGACUGGGUAGGUGGGUGUCACCUUCCUCCCUCACUGCUCCGUGUGUAUCCCUCCCAAAUCUGCUCUGAAGAGGACAAACAUCCCCGGUCGAGGAGAUAGAGGUGGACCAGCUCCUUGGUCAAGGGCAUACUAGUAGCUGUGCUCUCCUUCUAGAAACUCCAAACAAGAUGUCGAGGUGCUAAGUCCUUUUGUCCAAUGCCAAUGUUACCAGAGUUUCAUAUAAUAAGAUACAAGUACAUUGUUGGAAUUUAAUAAACUAUCUUUU